rnacentral:rRNA from 1 species
GACGAACGCUGGCGGCGUGCUUAACACAUGCAAGUCGAGCGGUAAGGCCCUUUCGGGGGUACACGAGCGGCGAACGGGUGAGUAACACGUGGGUGACCUGCCCUCAGCUCUGGGAUAAGCCUGGGAAACCGGGUCUAAUACUGGAUAUGACUCCAUGACGCAUGUUGUGGGGUGGAAAGCCUUGUGCGGCUGAGGAUGGGCCCGCGGCCUAUCAGCUUGUUGGGGGGUGAUGGCCCACCAAGGCUGCGAUCGGUAGCUGGUCUGAGAGGAUGAUCAGCCACACUGGGACUGAGACACGGCCCAGACUCCUACGGGAGGCAGCAGUGGGAAUUUUGGACAAUGGGGCAACCCUGAUCCAGCCAUGCCGCGUGCGGGAAGAAGGCCU